GAAAGUAUCAACAUCCUAUGUUAAUAAUGGAAUUGAAGAUGUUGAAAAUAAUAAUGCAAUAUGACAAUAGAGCAGUUUACUCAAGGAAUUGAGACGCAUGGAUUCACUUAUUUCACACGUUGGAAAGUAUCAACAUCCUACAUUAAUGGACUGGAGGAGGUCGAGAAUAUUGCAGGUUUUAUGCAGUCUACGUAUAAUAGUUACUCAAAGUAAUUAAAAUUCAAUUGAUAGAAGUGCAUCAAAAAGAUGGUGUCAUGAAACCCUGACCAUUACAUAAAAAGGCAGUAUGGCAGAUCACUCAAGUCACGCUGAUACAUGAAUUCACAUUUCUCACGCGUGGGAUAGUAUCAACAGCCUACGUUGCAAAUGGACUAGAAGAUGCUGAGAAUAAUACGUGUUAUAUGCAAUAUACAUAAGGCAGUAUGGCAGAUCACUCAAGUCACGCUGAUACAUGAAUUCACAUUUCUCACGCGUGGGAUAGUAUCAACAGCCUACGUUGCAAAUGGACUAGAAGAUGCUGAGAAUAAUACGUGUUAUAUGCAAUAUACAUGUAAUGGUUAUUGAAAAUGGCAGUACGGCAGAUCACUCAAGUCACGCUGAUACAUGAAUUCACAUUUCUCACGCGUGGGAUAGUAUCAACAGCCUACGUUGCAAAUGGACUAGAAGAUGCUGAGAAUAAUACGUGUUAUAUGCAAUAAGGCAGUAUGGCAGAUCACUCAAGUCACGCUGAUACAUGAAUUCACAUUUCUCACGCGUGGGAUAGUAUCAACAGCCUACGUUGCAAAUGGACUAGAAGAUGCUGAGAAUAAUACGUGUUAUAUGCAAUAUACAUGUAAUGGUUAUUGAAAAUGGCAGUACGGCAGAUCACUCAAGUCACGCUGAUACAUGAAUUCACAUUUCUCACGCGUGGGAUAGUAUCAACAGCCUACGUUGCAAAUGGACUAGAAGAUGCUGAGAAUAAUACGUGUUAUAUGCAAUAUGGCAGUACGGCAGUUCACUUAAGGAAUUCUGACGCAUGGAUUCACUUAUCUCACACGUGGGAAAGUAUCAACAUCCUAUGUUGCAAAUGGACUUGAAGAUGCUGAGAAUAAUACGUGUUAUAUGCAAUAUGGCACUACGGCAGAUCACACAAGGCAUGCUGAGACAUGGAUUCACA